GUGGCGGCUGGUGGUAACCCUAGGAUUGGAGGGCGUAAGGAUCAUGGACGGCUGAGAUUGGAAGAAUGGGAGUGAGGGCGCAUUGAGUUUGAUGAAUGAUUCGUUUCUGUUAUUCUUCUUCUGUUUGGUUGUGUUUCGUUUCUAUUUAUUGCCUACUAUUGCGGAUGGCUGUGUCUUUGUGUAUUCUGAAUUGUGUGUUGUGGGACUGUGGGAGUGGCUCUACACUCUGCGCUUCUCUUCCCUACUUCAUUUUCUU
rnacentral:lncRNA from 1 species